AGUAACGGCGAGUGAAGCGGCAACAGCUCAAAUUUGAAAUCUGGCCUUCGGGUCCGAGUUGUAAUUUGUAGAGGAUGCUUUUGGCGCGGUGCCUUCCAAGUUCCCUGGAACGGGACGCCUUAGAGGGUGAGAGCCCCGUACGGUUGGACGCCUAGCCUCUGUAAAGCUCCUUCGACGAGUCGAGUAGUUUGGGAAUGCUGCUCUAAAUGGGAGGUAAACUUCUUCUAAAGCUAAAUACCGGCCAGAGACCGAUAGCGCACAAGUAGAGUGAUCGAAAGAUGAAAAGCACUUUGAAAAGAGGGUUAAAUAGCACGUGAAAUUGUUGAAAGGGAAGCGUUUGCGACCAGACUUUCUCCAGGCGGAUCAUCCGGUGUUCUCACCGGUGCACUUCGCCUGGUUUAGGCCAGCAUCGGUUCUUGUAGGGGGAUAAAGGCCUGGGGAAUGUAGCUCUUUAGGGAGUGUUAUAGCCCCUGGCGUAAUACCUUUACGGGGACCGAGGACCGCGCUUCGGCAAGGAUGCUGGCAUAAUGGUCGUCAACGACCCGUCUUGAAACACGGACCAAGGAGUCGAACAUUUGUGCGAGUGUUUGGGUGUUAAACCCUCACGCGUAAUUAAAGUGAACGGAGGUGAGAGCCCUUACGGGUGCAUCAUCGACCGAUCCUGAUGUCUUCGGAUGGAUUUGAGUAAGAGCAUAACUGUUCGGACCCGAAAGAUGGUGAACUAUGCGUGGAUAGGGUGAAGCCAGAGGAAACUCUGGUGGAGGCUCGCAGCGGUUCUGACGUGCAAAUCGAUCGUCAAAUCUGCGCAUGGGGGCGAAAGACUAAUCGAACCAUUAAAAACCAGCGGUAAAAAUAUAUUUACUAGGUGGUUUAGAGGCCCCCCGUAAGGGGGGGCCUAGGGGACGCCUACCCUAUAGCUACCCUGUACCUACCCUGUAACAUCAAGUUACCCGGUAGCUCUACCCUGUAGCGCUGGGCGGGCGAACCCGACACCGCUAAAUUGCGGGGACAUCCUAUAGAGGCCGAGGGCUACCGCCAUGCGCUGAAAAGCGUGUACUGGCACCAAGAAUAGCGCUCUUGGGUAUGGUAAUAACGCCCUGCGGUAACGGACAACCUGCAGCCAACCCCGUAUCUUUUAGGGGAGAGUUCACUGACUAGACAGUGGUGGGUUAGCACUGAGCCGCGGCUUAGUCUAGCUUAAGAUAUAGUCGAUCC
rnacentral:rRNA from 1 species